rnacentral:lncRNA from 1 species
GAAUCAAUGAUAGUUUGUCCUUUUUGAUUCCAGUUUGUUCCCCUGGGUUUUACGGACACCGGUGCAGCCAGACAUGUCCACAGUGUGUACACAGCAGUGGCCCCUGCCACCAUAUUACUGGAUUAUGUGACUGUUUACCUGGAUUUACUGGAGCCCUGUGUAAUGAAGUGUGUCCCAGUGGCAGAUUUGGCAAGAACUGCAUUGGAAUAUGCACCUGCACCAACAAUGGAACAUGCAACCCUAUCGACAGAUCCUGUCAGUGUUAUCCUGGGUGGAUUGGUAGUGACUGCUCUCAGCCCUGCCCACCUUCUCACUGGGGACCAAACUGCAUCCACACAUGCAACUGCCAUAAUGGAGCUUACUGCAGUGCCUACGAUGGAGAGUGCAAAUGUACCCCAGGAUGGACUGGCCUUUACUGUACACAACGAUGUCCCCUUGGAUUUUAUGGGAAGGACUGUGCACUGAUAUGCCAGUGCAAGAACGGAGCCGACUGUGACCACAUCAGUGGGCAGU